rnacentral:rRNA from 1 species
CAUGCAAGUCGAGCGGAUGAGAAGAGCUUGCUCUUCGAUUCAGCGGCGGACGGGUGAGUAAUGCCUAGGAAUCUGCCUGGUAGUGGGGGACAACGUUUCGAAAGGAACGCUAAUACCGCAUACGUCCUACGGGAGAAAGCAGGGGACCUUCGGGCCUUGCGCUAUCAGAUGAGCCUAGGUCGGAUUAGCUAGUUGGUGAGGUAAUGGCUCACCAAGGCGACGAUCCGUAACUGGUCUGAGAGGAUGAUCAGUCACACUGGAACUGAGACACGGUCCAGACUCCUACGGGAGGCAGCAGUGGGGAAUAUUGGACAAUGGGCGAAAGCCUGAUCCAGCCAUGCCGCGUGUGUGAAGAAGGUCUUCGGAUUGUAAAGCACUUUAAGUUGGGAGGAAGGGCAUUAACCUAAUACGUUAGUGUUUUGACGUUACCGACAGAAUAAGCACCGGCUAACUCUGUGCCAGCAGCCGCGGUAAUACAGAGGGUGCAAGCGUUAAUCGGAAUUACUGGGCGUAAAGCGCGCGUAGGUGGUUUGUUAAGUUGGAUGUGAAAGCCCCGGGCUCAACCUGGGAACUGCAUCCAAAACUGGCAAGCUAGGGUACGGUAGAGGGUGGUGGAAUUUCCUGUGUAGCGGUGAAAUGCGUAGAUAUAGGAAGGAACACCAGUGGCGAAGGCGACUUUCUGGUCUGUAACUGACACUGAGGCGCGAAAGCGUGGGGAGCAAAC